GACCUAGUGGCGCACGGCGCGCACCCACCUUGCAUUGUUAUUAUCUUCAUCAGUGCACUUGCACGUGGGAACACCUGGUUCGACUCCAGGCUGGGUCC